rnacentral:lncRNA from 1 species
AUGCCUUUUCCACGAAUAUCCGACUCCGAAUGGCCCAAAUCUAGCCAAAAAUAAUUACAUUUCAUAAAUACAACUAUAAUAGACUAAUCUAAUUAAUGAAAUCAAGAUUUUAACAAAAUUUCCUAAAUCCAUCCCAAAGAGUCGACAUGGUCCCAUAUCUCAGAAUCGGGUAAAAGUCACAAAAUAUAAAUACUCAUUCACUCACGAGUCUAGCCAUAUCAAAUUUACUAAAAUCCGACACCAAAUGGUCCUUCAAAUCCACAAAUCAAACUUUCCAAAUCCCUAGUCUCAAACUCCCAAAUUUCACCUUAAAUACACACUAACUAGGCGGAAAAAUUAAUGGGGAAGCAAUAUUAUUGAUAAAAAAUUAGCACAAGGGACUUACCUGAAGAAACCCCUCAAAAAUGCUCUCAAGAAAUCGCCAAACCUGAGCACAAAAUGUUGAAAAUGAGCAAAAAUCGCGAACCCUUGCAUUUAAGUGUUAUGUCCAGAAAACUCGUACCUAUAGAGCUUGGGUCAAAUAAUACCGAUACAUCUCUAAGACAGACUAGAACAGUACCUGAAAUGACAAGAUCAGAAGCAACUACCUCUACACGAGCAGGAUGGGCAUGAUAUCUGGCCUGGCCUCCUCUUCUAGGGCGACCUCUACCUCCCUGACCUCCACCUCGGGCUGGCUGAGCAGGUGGGGUGGCCGC